CUGUCUUGCCUUCGUAUUCCCCAGUUAUUGGGUUGUCACAGAUCAGCCGAGUUAGGGAGCUGUGUCAGCGGAGACACUCUUGUGCAGCCAGCGAGAAGUUCACGGAGGAAAUUGAUAUUCGCUGCAAAUUAUUUUGGAUGAUUUACUGGAAUGAAUUAACUUCCAGGAACGUGGGGGGAAUAGGAACACAGCUCCUGCUUUUUAACUACAAUCCUGAAGGAAGAAGAUGCAGGUCUGACCCUUUAAUGCCUAGUCAAACAAUGCAGCUGCACGUUCAAGCUGUUUAAGUGCAGAGAAUGCUAUACAGUGGAUCCUGGUUCUUAAUUGCUCAUUGUUCUGCAUUGAACAGCACCUUCAAUUAUCGUUUGAUUACCAUGUAAAAGUGGCUUUUGUUGUUCUAUUUGCAUUUUGGCAACACAAACACCACUGAAGGAACUCUUGAGUGAGUAGUCCCAUAUUGCCUUGGCACUAAAUGUUUUCCUCUCCUCCCUAAGGAAGUGUGGGGGAGUUCGCUCAAUUGCAGGUUUUUAUUUUAAUGGGUUUAUUACACUUCCUGAAACCAAACACGAAUCUAAAUACUAUUUUUGCUCAAGGAUUUGUAGAGAUGGAAUCUGAUGUAUAUUCUAAAGAACCAUAGUGGUAGUGGUGGUAUCAUCUUUAUGACCACCAUAAUCUUGAGCCUAUUUAGAAAUGUGCAUUUCUAACACAUACAAAAAACAUACCUGUGUCCAAGAAUGCAUACUGUUGAAAAGUAUGGAUAAAAACCUAUAUAGAUCUAUAGAUCUGCAUAGGAGAAAGGAUGGAAUAAGCUUUGUGGUGGAAACCUAAGGACCUCAUCAAGAUCAUCCUUGACACAUCCACACUCUUUCUCUGUGACAAGACUUGGAACAAUCCAUCAGUGAUAUAGACCAGGCUGUGGCGCAGCUGGUUAGUAGCCAGCUGCAAUAAAUUAUUACUGAUCGAGAGGGUCAUGAAUUCAAAUCCAGCCCUGGUUGGAGUGAGCUCCCAACCAUUUGGGCCGGGCUGUGGUGCAGGCUGUUGAGCAACCAGCUGCAGCCAGCUGCAAUGAAUCACUCUGACCAGGAGGUCAUGAGUUCGAGGCCAGCUCGGAGCCCCGUGCUUGUCUUGUCUUUGUUCUAUGUUAAGGCAUUGAAUGUUUGCCUUAUAUGUGUAAUGUGAUCCGCCCUGAGUCCCCUUUGGGGUGAGAAAGGCGGAAUAUAAAUACUGUAAAUAAAUAAAUAAAUAAAUAAAU